rnacentral:rRNA from 1 species
GACGGAGGGUGCAAGCGUUGUUCGGAUUGACUGGGCGUAAAGGGCGUGUAGGCGGUUGGUCAAGUCUGGUGUGAAAGCCCGGGGCUCAGCUCCGGAAGUGCAUCGGAAACUAGCCGACUGGAGCGCGAUAGAGGAGGGUGGAAUUCCUGGUGUAGCGGUGAAAUGCGCAGAUAUCAGGAAGAACACCCGUGGCGAAGGCGGCUCUCUGGGACGGUACUGACGCUGAGACGCGAAAGCGUGGGGAGCGAACAGG